rnacentral:tRNA from 2 species
GCCUGGCUAGCUCAGUCGGUAGAGCAUGAGACUCUUAAUCUCAGGGUCGUGGGUUUGAGCCCCAUGUUGGGUG